rnacentral:lncRNA from 1 species
AUACAUCUCAAAUCGAGACACUGCCUCCACUGCCGUCACUGUAGUUUAAACCAUCAUCAUAUCUAGUUGGAUCACUGUUCCAAAUCCAGACAGCGACACUGAGUUAGAAAUGGCAGUUAGUUUGAAAACAGAAAGGUUCAACGCCCCUUCUGGAAAGAUCUAACUGGACAAGACCAAGUCCCACG